AUCAUGUGAGGCCUCAAAUAAAAAUAUUCACAAAGAUGAGUGUAUAAACAAUCCCAGUCCACGAAUAGGGCUACAAUUAGAUAAGAUCUGACAAUUGGAGCUGACAAUUCAUCUGUUGAUUCAGCCUUCUCGCAUGGGAAAGAUUUUAUACAAACAGAAAAGAGUCAUCAAAGUUGGCAAUUGAGUAAAAUCCCUCUGUAAAUAUUCAAGUGAUCCAGGAAUAGCCCUUAGGUAAGAUCAUGUAGAAAAUGUACAUCUCAAAGGCACAGAGCUGUAACUUCAAGGCUAAAUAUCAUAAUUUGCCUAUUGCAAAAAAGAGGAGUAUAGGAAAAAGCCCAGUUAAGACAAGAUCGCCAAGAAAAGCACCUUAAACAAAGGUAAGACUUGUUAUGUAGAUUUAAGCCAGCAAAGCACCUUAAACAAAGGUAAGACUUGUUAUGUAGAUUUAAGCCAAUGUGCUCUCCAUUGAGAGCAUUGCUAAUAUUUAGUACUCAUCAUAUUCUGCUUGUAGAGAUAAAGACACCCUUACAAA
rnacentral:lncRNA from 1 species